GAAAAUUAUAAUAUUUAUAAAGCAAUCGAGCCCGAUUUGUUUAUGUCAUAUACAGAAAUGGAGGUUACUGGACUUGACGCAAGAAGGAUAUGUAAAUUAAUAAUAUUACUGAGUUUAUUCUUUAUGUUCAUUCAAACAUCACAUGGCAUAAACCUUGGCCUAAUCGCUGGUGAUUUAAAGCGGUCUGGACCUGGGCCCUUAGUAGUUCGAAAAGUAUCACACAAUUCACCAGUCAUCAUUAACGUUAAUCCCGGAUUACCAAAACUUCCUGGUAUAGCAACCUUACCAAAUCCUGCGCCGAAAUCACUGAAACUUCCUUGUUUAGCAUCUUUAGCUCCAAAGCCCUUACCAAAGUUACCAGCGAAACCUCCGCCUAAACUUUUAAAGGCUUCUAAAUUGAAAAGAUCUCCCUUAUUACCCUCACUUCCUCGAUUGCCUAUAUUUCCACCUCCACUUUUAUUACCUCAUUUGAUACCACCUGUGAUACCUCGUUUGCCGCUCCUUCCUAUUGUACCACCUAUAAUGCCUGUACCCACUUUAUUACCGCUCCUGCCACCUUCGCUGCUCAGAGCUCCAAGGCUGCCGACAUUGUCACCAUUCCACCCGCUUAAAUUACCGACUCUCGGAAAAUCUCCACUGGAGAAAACAUUAGGAAUAUUUCGACGUAAGUCUAUUCUGCGGCGCCCUUUUAGUUUGUUGUGAUGUGUGAACAGUACAAAUGGACGAAAAGAAACUGUGGGAAUUUGUGAACUAAGCAGUCAUUGAAAUCAACAUCAUCGGAUUAUAUGCAAGUGACUUAUAUACGCAAAAAAGAAGAAUAUACGUUUCAUGAUUACCAGUAAUAAAUAUAAUAAUAAUAAUUUAACUUAGAGUAACUAUUUCAUACCUACUUAAAGGGUUUAUUCGCGAUAUUAUGUGAUGAACUAUAACGAAUAAUAUGAUAUAAGCAGGAUGGUGAAUGAAUAAAUUAUUUUUG